AUGGCCGCCCAUGCAGCUCUCGCCGCCACCCGCAUCCCCACCAGCGCCCGUCUGCACAGCAAGGCCGCCUCCAGGCAGAGGGUCGACUUCGCCGACUUCUCCGGGCUGAGGCCGGGGUCGUGCUCCGUCAGCGCCGCCGCCAGGGAGGCGUCCUUCUCCGAUGUCCUCGGCGCGCAGCUCGUCGCCAGGGCUUCCGGCGAGAACACCGUGAGAGCGCCGGCGGAGGCGAAGCUGAAGGUGGCCAUCAACGGGUUCGGCCGCAUCGGGCGCAACUUCCUCCGGUGCUGGCACGGCCGCGAGAACUCGCCGCUGGAGGUCAUCGUCAUCAACGACAGCGGAGGCGUCAGGAACGCGUCUCACCUGCUCAAGUACGACUCGAUGCUGGGCACCUUCAAGGCGGACGUGAAGAUCGUGGACAACGAGACCAUCAGCGUCGACGGCAAGAACAUCCAGGUCGUCUCCAACAGGGACCCCCUCAAGCUGCCAUGGGCCGAGCUCGGCAUCGACAUCGUCAUCGAGGGUACCGGAGUGUUCGUGGACGGCCCCGGCGCCGGGAAGCAUCUCCAGGCCGGCGCCAAGAAGGUCAUCAUCACCGCUCCGGCCAAGGGCGCCGACAUCCCCACCUACGUCGUCGGCGUCAACGAGGGCGACUACGACCAUGACGUCGCCAACAUCAUCAGCAACGCUUCUUGCACCACCAACUGCCUCGCGCCAUUCGCCAAGGUCCUGGACGAGGAGUUCGGGAUCGUGAAGGGGACCAUGACAACCACGCACUCGUACACGGGCGACCAGAGGCUGCUGGACGCGUCCCACCGCGACCUGCGGAGGGCGAGGGCAGCGGCGCUGAACAUCGUGCCGACGAGCACGGGCGCCGCCAAGGCCGUCUCCCUGGUGCUGCCGCAGCUCAAGGGCAAGCUCAACGGCAUCGCGCUCCGCGUGCCCACGCCCAACGUCUCCGUGGUGGACCUCGUCAUCAACACCGUCAAGACCGGCAUCACCGCCGACGACGUGAACGCGGCGUUCCGCAAGGCCGCCGACGGGCCGCUCAAGGGCAUCCUCGACGUCUGCGACGAGCCGCUCGUGUCCGUCGACUUCCGCUGCUCCGACGUCUCCACCAGCAUCGACGCCUCCCUCACCAUGGUCAUGGGCGACGACAUGGUCAAGGUCGUCGCCUGGUACGACAACGAGUGGGGCUACAGCCAGCGCGUGGUUGAUCUGGCGCACCUGGUGGCGGCCAAGUGGCCGGGCGCCGGGACCGGCGGCAGCGGCGACCCGCUGGAGGACUACUGCAAGACCGACCCCAACGCCGUGGAGUGCAAGGUGUUCGACGAGUGA
rnacentral:rRNA from 1 species